GUGUCAUAAAAUAAUUAAAUGUGUAAAAAUGAAUUUACUUUUAUUUAUUAUUCUUUAAAUAAAUUAAAAAACACUAAAGUGACGUGUUGCUUGCAAGAUCAACAAGAAAAUGGAACAUCUAUUUUAAAAUUAUAUAUAUACCAGUCCCACUACACCCUUUUUACUGCCCACGAUUUUAUUUAUGAUAAAUAUUUAAUUAUAAAACACUAUAACGUCACUUUUACCUCAAUUGUUAACUAAAUUACAAAAUAAUUUAUAAUUAAUCCAUUGACAUCAUCAGAAUCCAAGAAUCCAGUGAUUUACAGCAACGGAAAGACAACCACACCCACAGACACAAAACCCAGACCUUUACUAACACACAUUUAGAAUUGACCAAUCAGGAAAAUUUUUCGGAGUCUUAGUCAUCUGUGAAUGUUCUCCAACUUUGAGGAUAAAACCCAUUCCCAUUUCCAUGUGGUUCACCAGGUGACAGUGUAAGAACCAGUACCCAGGAUUAG